rnacentral:rRNA from 1 species
GCAAGUCGAGGGGUAACAGGGAUUGCUUGCAAUCCGCUGACGACCGGCGCACGGGUGCGUAACGCGUAUGCAACCUACCUUCUACAGGGGGAUAGUCAAUAGAAAUGUUGAAUAAUACCCCAUACGAUCAUUUAUCUGCAUAGAUUAAUGAAGAAAGCUCCGGCGGUAGAAGAUGGGCAUGCGUCCUAUUAGUUAGUUGGUAAGGUAACGGCUUACCAAGACAUCGAUAGGUAGGGGUCCUGAGAGGGAGAUCCCCCACACUGGUACUGAGACACGGACCAGACUCCUACGGGAGGCAGCAGUGAGGAAUAUUGGACAAUGGAGGCAACUCUGAUCCAGCCAUGCCGCGUGCAGGAAGACGGCCCUAUGGGUUGUAAACUGCUUUUAUACAGGAAGAAUUGUACCUACGUGUAGGUAUUUGACGGUACUGUACGAAUAAGGAUCGGCUAACUCCGUGCCAGCAGCCGCGGUAAU